UACGUAGGGUGCGAGCGUUGUCCGGAAUUACUGGGCGUAAAGAGCUCGUAGGCGGCUUGUUGCGUCGACUGUGAAAACCCGCGGCUUAACUGCGGGCUUGCAGUUGAUACGGGCAGGCUAGAGUUCGGUAGGGGAGACUGGAAUUCCUGGUGUAGCGGUGAAAUGCGCAGAUAUCAGGAGGAACACCGGUGGCGAAGGCGGGUCUCUGGGCCGAUACUGACGCUGAGGAGCGAAAGCGUGGGGAGCGAACAGG
rnacentral:rRNA from 1 species